GAACGCUGGCGGUGCGCCUUAUGCAUGCAAGUCGAGCGAAGCUUUUCAGUAGUUUACUACAGAAAAUGACUGAGCGGCGAACGGGUGAGUAACGCGUGAGCAACCUACCUUAGUUACUGGGAUAGCCCGAGGAAACUCGGAUUAAUACCGGAUAUUCUUAUUUAAUCACAUGAUUUUUUAAGGAAAGGUCAGCCGAAGUAAGAUGGGCUCGCGUUGUAUCAGCUAGUUGGUAGGGUAAUGGCCUACCAAGGCUACGACGGAUAGCUGGUCUGAGAGGACGAUCAGCCACACUGGGACUGAGACACGGCCCAGACUCCUACGGGAGGCUGCAGCAGGGAAUAUUGCGCAAUGAGCGAAAGCUUGACGCAGCGACACCGCGUGUGGGAUGACGGAUCUAGGUUUGUAAACCACUUUCAGGAGGGAAGAAAAUGACGGUACCUCCACAAGAAGCCCCGGCCAACUACGUGCC
rnacentral:rRNA from 1 species